AAAGCACCCCCCUCCUCCUCCCGCAAUGGCCCGCGCCCUUCUCUGCUGCUUCUGGAAGAGAAGAGUGCACUCACUCACUGUACAUCUUUUCGACGCCGCUAUCAUUUCUUUCCUCAUAAAGGAAUCAAAAUGAUGGUUUUUAGGGUUCAAACCCACGUUUUUUAUAGGAACAUCCUAAAUGAAUCGAAAGGCAUCUCUAACAAACUGCUCUGCGACACAAAGCAAGCCACUCCCUAAGAAAAUUUGCGUGAGUGUAUAUCAGUUCA